GAUGAACGCUGGCGGCGUGCCUAAUACAUGCAAGUCGAGCGAACGGACGAGAAGCUUGCUUCUCUGAUGUUAGCGGCGGACGGGUGAGUAACACGUGGAUAACCUACCUAUAAGACUGGGAUAACUUCGGGAAACCGGAGCUAAUACCGGAUAAUAUUUUGAACCGCAUGGUUCAAAAGUGAAAGACGGUCUUGCUGUCACUUAUAGAUGGAUCCGCGCUGCAUUAGCUAGUUGGUAAGGUAACGGCUUACCAAGGCAACGAUGCAUAGCCGACCUGAGAGGGUGAACGGUCACACUGGAACUGAGACACGGUCCAGACUCCUACGGGAGGCAGCAGUAGGGAAUCUUCCGCAAUGGGCGAAAGCCUGACGGAGCAACGCCGCGUGAGUGAUGAAGGUCUUCGGAUCGUAAAACUCUGUUAUUAGGGAAGAACAUAUGUGUAAGUAACUGUGCACAUCUUGACGGUACCUAAUCAGAAAGCCACGGCUAACUACGUG
rnacentral:rRNA from 1 species